UGCAAGUCGAACGAUGAACCACUUCGGUGGGGAUUAGUGGCGAACGGGUGAGUAACACGUGGGCAAUCUGCCCUGCACUCUGGGACAAGCCCUGGAAACGGGGUCUAAUACCGGAUACUGAUCCGCCUGGGCAUCCAGGCGGUUCGAAAGCUCCGGCGGUGCAGGAUGAGCCCGCGGCCUAUCAGCUUGUUGGUGAGGUAGUGGCUCACCAAGGCGACGACGGGUAGCCGGCCUGAGAGGGCGACCGGCCACACUGGGACUGAGACACGGCCCAGACUCCUACGGGAGGCAGCAGUGGGGAAUAUUGCACAAUGGGCGAAAGCCUGAUGCAGCGACGCCGCGUGAGGGAUGACGGCCUUCGGGUUGUAAACCUCUUUCAGCAGGGAAGAAGCGAAAGUGACGGUACCUGCAGAAGAAGCGCCGGCUAACUACGUGCCAGCAGCCGCGGUAAUACGUAGGGCGCAAGCGUUGUCCGGAAUUAUUGGGCGUAAAGAGCUCGUAGGCGGCUUGUCACGUCGGUUGUGAAAGCCCGGGGCUUAACCCCGGGUCUGCAGUCGAUACGGGCAGGCUAGAGUUCGGUAGGGGAGAUCGGAAUUCCUGGUGUAGCGGUGAAAUGCGCAGAUAUCAGGAGGAACACCGGUGGCGAAGGCGGAUCUCUGGGCCGAUACUGACGCUGAGGAGCGAAAGCGUGGGGAG
rnacentral:rRNA from 1 species